rnacentral:rRNA from 1 species
UCCAGUUUAUCCUGCUGGCGGGUGCGGCUAUCUGACUUAUGAUUAGACAUGCAAGUCUUGAUCGAAAGAUCGGCAAACUGCUCAGUAACACGUAGCUAACCUGAUCUCACGUCAGGGAUAACCUCGGGAAACUGAGGCUAAUACCUGAUAGAAAAUACAAACUGGAAUGUAGUGUUUUUGAAACUCGAGCCUGAGAAGGGGGCUGCGGCUGAUUAGGUAGUUGUUGGGGUAAAUGCCUAACAAGCCAAUGAUCAGUAAGGGCUCUUAGCGGAGAGGCCCUGAGAAGGAAUCUGAGACACUAUUCCUAGCCCUACGGGGUGCAGCAGUCGAGGAAAUUUUACAAUGCUCGAAAGAGUGAUAAAAUGAGUCAGAGUGUCUCUCUUAGAGAAACUUUUUUCUGCUGUAAAAAGGCAGAAGAAUAAGGACUGGGUAAGAUCGGUGCCAGCCGCCGCGGUAAUACCGGCGGUCCGAGUCGCAUCCACAUUUAUUGGGUCUAAAACAUCCGUAGCUUGUUUUGUAAGUCUCUUGUGAAAUCUUAUAUCUCAAGUAUAAGGCGUGCAAGAGAUACUACAUCACUAGAGACCGGAAGACGCAAGGAGUACGGUUAAGGUAACGGUAAAAUGUGUUAAUCUUAAUUGGACUAACAAUGGCGAAGGCACCUUGCGAGUACGGAUCUGACAGUGAGGGAUGAAGGCUAGGGGCGCGAAAGGGAUUAGAUACCCCUGUAGUCCUAGCAGUAAACACUGCUCACUAAACAUUAGUACCUCCUCGAGAGGCAUUAGUGCUGUAGAGAAGUCGGAGAGUGAGCUACCUGGGAAGUAUAGUCGCAAGGCCGAAACUUAAAGGAAUUGGCGGGGAGGCACUACAACCGGUGAUCGCGUGCGGUUCAAUUAGAUUCUACACCGUGAACCUCACCAGGAGCGAUAGCAGGAUGAAGGUCAGUCUGAAGGGCUUACCUGACACGCUAAGAGGAGUUGCAUGGCCGACAUAAGCCUGUGUCGUGAGAUGACUUGUUAAAUCAAGUAACAGGCGAGACCCCUGUGUUUAAUUGCUACGUAAGAGUACAUUAAACAGACUGCCUUGGUAACAAGGAGGAGGGUGGGGGCUAUGUUAGGUGGGUACAGCCCGAAUCCCCUGGGCUACACGCGCGCGUCAAUGUCAUAUUCAGUGAGAUGCGACUCCGAGAGGAGAAGCUAAUCCCAUAAAGUAUGGCUUAGUACCGAUUGAGGCUUGCAACUUAGCCUCAUGACGAUGGAAUCGGUAGUAAUCGUUUGUAAUCAGCGAACGGUGAAUACGUCACGGCCUCUUGCACACACUGCCUGUCAAACCAACCGAGUUAUGCCCUGGCGAGGGCUUUCGAGAACAAACCUAGGUAUGACAAGGUAGGUU